AGCAUGUUAGCCGAAUGGUAAGGCAUAGUACUACGGAUACUGUUAUUAUGAGUUCGAAUCUCAUACAUGUUU